rnacentral:rRNA from 1 species
CCGACGGUGAGAGGCGAAGCUGGGGGCGCAAACCGGAUUAGAUACCCGGGUAGUCCCAGCAGUAAACGAUGCCAGCUAUGUGUUGCUGGAAACCAUGGUUCAGCAUGCGAAGGAAGCGUGAAGCUGGCCACCUGGGAAGUACGGUCGCAAUGCUGAAACUUAAAGGAAUUGGCGGGGGAGUACCACAACCGGUGGAGCCUGCGGUUUAAUUGGAUACAACGCCGGGAAUCUUACCGGAGGGGACAGCAGUAUGAAGGCCAGGCUAAAGACCUUGCCAGAUCAGCUGAGAGGAGGUGCAUGGCCGUCGCCAGUUCGUACCGUGAGGCAUCCUGUUUAGUCAGGCAACGAUCGAGACCCGCAGUCUUAUUUGCCAGCAUGCCCUUUGGGGUGUAUGGGUACAAUAAGACGACCGCCAGCGCUAAGCUGGAGGAAGGAGCGGGCUACGGUAGGUCAGCAUGCCCCGAAUCCUCCCGGAUACACGCGGGCUACAAUUGGUCAGGACAAAAGGUACCGACCUCGAAAGAGUGAGGUAAUCCACAAACCUGAUCUCAGUCCGGAUCGAAGGCUGCAACUCGCCUUCGUGAAGAUGGAAUCGGUAGUAAUCGUGACUCAGAAUGUCACGGUGAAUAUGUCCCU